UUGAUCCAGAAGCUUUUGAAGACUCAGCUGUACUUUAUUGACCAGAUCCAGCUACAAAAAUGGUUAAAACUCCUCUAAAAAAGCCUUGCUGGACUGAAAACUCAGGGAGAAGGAAACUCAGAGGCAACUUAGUUUUGGAGAAAGGAUGCUCUGCACCUAAAAUGGGGAGGCAAAAGCUUUUGCACAGAUUUCCUGGCAGUUACUUGUCUGAGUGAAAGAGAAGAGCUACAUGGAAAAGAGAAAGCAAAUGACAUUUUUAACUGUGUGAAGAUUUCUUCUUUCCCCCAAGCAUCCUGAAAUAAAAGACAUCAAUGCAGA